rnacentral:rRNA from 1 species
GAUGAACGCUGGCGGCGUGCCUAAUACAUGCAAGUCGAGCGAACAGACGAGGAGCUUGCUCCUUUGACGUUAGCGGCGGACGGGUGAGUAACACGUAGGUAACCUACCUAUAAGACUGGGAUAACUUCGGGAAACCGGAGCUAAUACCGGAUAAUAUUUCGAACCGCAUGGUUCGAUAGUGAAAGAUGGCUUUGCUAUCACUUAUAGAUGGACCUGCGCCGUAUUAGCUAGUUGGUAAGGUAACGGCUUACCAAGGCAACGAUACGUAGCCGACCUGAGAGGGUGAUCGGCCACACUGGAACUGAGACACGGUCCAGACUCCUACGGGAGGCAGCAGUAGGGAAUCUUCCGCAAUGGGCGAAAGCCUGACGGAGCAACGCCGCGUGAGUGAUGAAGGUCUUCGGAUCGUAAAACUCUGUUAUUAGGGAAGAACAAACGUGUAAGUAACUGUGCACGUCUUGACGGUACCGAAUCAGAAAGCCACGGCUAACUACGUG